GGUGGCUCUCAGGUGACAUACCCUGGGAUUGGACUCCCUCCUCUCUGGGUCCGGGUAUGUCACCCGCCGAGAGCCACA
rfam:Myotis davidii contig220458, whole genome shotgun sequence.